GGAGGAGGAAGAAAAAACAAGCAUCCACUGCCACCGCGAUGCUUUGAGAUGGGAUGGGGGUCAUCGGGUUGAGAGGCACAGAGCUCAGCUGUACGUGCCUGGGUUUAGUCUCAGUCUCAGUCUUGGGUAAUACCUGCCCCGGGAGUCCCUGCAUUUGUGGUCCUGAAGCGACCCCGGGCGGUUUGUGCAGUCAAGCUGGCUGGGAAAGGACCCUGCCUGGGCGUUGGGAAGGCGGUGCCCGUCUGGGACGCAAUGGAAGGAUAGUGAACUCAGGCAAAGAUCGGGUGGCAGCAGAUAGCAGCCUGAGUUUCCUAGAGAAAACAUUGGGAAAAAAAAUGUUCAGAGAAGGGACUGGAAGCAGGGCCUGGCAGAGACAAUAGGAUCAAGAUUCAAGACCACGGCUGUCUGCAGAGUUCAAGGUCAGUCGGGACUUCUGGAAACCUGAAGGGCCAAGAGAGGAGGAGGAGGAGGAGAGAAGAAGAAAUGUUGCCCCACCCCAGUCAUUCAUGAAAUAUAAUUAGGGUAUAUAGAUUGGGUGUGAUGGUGCAUACCUUUAGGCGAAGACAGACGAUCUCUAGGUUCUAGGACAGCAGAAGGUCUCCAUAGCAAGUUCAAGGCCAGUCAGA
rnacentral:lncRNA from 1 species